GUCUAUGGCCAUACCACCCUGAACGCACCCGAUCUUGUCAGAUCUCGGAAGCAAAGCAGGGUCGGUCCUGGUUAGUACUUGGAUUGGAGAAAUGCACAUCAAAACU
rnacentral:rRNA from 1 species